rnacentral:lncRNA from 1 species
CAUGAUCACACGCAGCGAAGUAUCAUGCAUAUGCUUGGAUAUGAAUUAUAAUCACUGAAAUACUCAUGGGGACCAGCUUCUAGACCAUUACGCCAUGACUGAAACUGACAAACUGUUGUAGAUAUUUAUAAGACGUUGAAAAGGAAAAGAGACUGGAAUAAUUUGUUUUGUAGCAAGCGGCACCCUUACCUGAUCAUGUCGAUCAGAAAUAAAUACAAUCUAAUAAAUAUGCCCAUCUCCUGCCAGAUAAUUCAAUAACUUAGGUGUAUUCAAUGUUUUACAAUCUUGUUAGUCUUGUGUAUGGAAGAUAUAAAAUACAUGGAUAGCCCCGGGCAAAAAAACCAGAACCAAAAAAUCAAAUCGAAUCUUCAAAUACCUGAAUAUCCGAAAAAAUCAAGUUUCAACUUUUUAAUAUAAGAUAAAAUGUUAUUAACUCCACUGGGUUGAACAUGAAAAGUGAAAACAUUAUUACCACC